UACGAAGGGUGCAAGCGUUACUCGGAAUUACUGGGCGUAAAGCGUGCGUAGGUGGUUCGUUAAGUCUGAUGUGAAAGCCCUGGGCUCAACCUGGGAAUGGCAUUGGAAACUGGCGACCUAGAGUGCGGUAGAGGGUAGUGGAAUUCCCGGUGUAGCAGUGAAAUGCGUAGAGAUCGGGAGGAACAUCCGUGGCGAAGGCGACUACCUGGACCAGCACUGACACUGAGGCACGAAAGCGUGGCGAGCAAACAGG
rnacentral:rRNA from 1 species